rnacentral:rRNA from 1 species
GGAGGAUCCAAGCGUUAUCCGGAUUUAUUGGGUUUAAAGGGUGCGUAGGUGGCUUUUUAAGUCAGGGGUGAAAGACGGCAGCUUAACUGUCGCAGUGCCCUUGAUACUGAAGAGCUUGAAUCCACUAGAGGUAGGCGGAAUGUGACAAGUAGCGGUGAAAUGCAUAGAUAUGUCACAGAACACCAAUUGCGAAGGCAGCUUACUAUGGUGGUAUUGACACUGAGGCACGAAAGCGUGGGGAUCAAACAGGAUUAGAUACCCUGGUAGUCCACGCCCUAAACGAUGAAUACUCGAUGUUGGCGAUAUACGGUCAGCGUCUAAGCGAAAGCGUUAAGUAUUCCACCUGGGGAGUACGCCCGCAAGGGUG